UGUUACCUACGGGAGGCAGCAGUGGGGGAUAUUGCACAAUGGGGGGAACCCUGAUGCAGCGACGCCGCGUGGGUGAAGGAGUGCUUCGGCAUGUAAAGCCCUAUCGGCAGGGAAGAAGCAAGACGGUACCUGACUAAGAAGCCCCGGCUAACUACGUGCCAGCAGCCGCGGUAAUACGUAGGGGGCGAGCGUUAUCCGGAAUUACUGGGUGUAAAGGGAGCGUAGGCGGGGAUGCAAGUUGGGUGUCAAAAAUACCGGCUC
rnacentral:rRNA from 1 species